GACGAACGCUGGCGGCGUGCCUAACACAUGCAAGUCGAGCGAAUGAAGUUCCUUCGGGCAUGGAUUUAGCGGCGGACGGGUGAGUAACACGUGGGCAACCUGCCUCAUAGAGGGGAAUAGCCUCCCGCAAGGGAGAUUAAUACCGCAUAAGAUUGUAGUACCGCAUGAUACAGCAAUUAAAGGAGCCAUCCGCUAUGAGAUGGGCCCGCGGCGCAUUAGCUAGUUGGUGAGGUAAUGGCUCACCAAGGCGACGAUGCGUAGACGACCUGAGAGGCUGAGCGGCCACAUUGGGACUGAGACACGGCCCAGACUCUUACGGGAGGCAGGAGUGGGGAAUAUUGCAAAGUGGGGGAAACGCUGAUGCAGCAACGCCGCGUGAGUUAUGACGGCCGUCGGGUUGUAAAGCUCUGUCUUCAGGGACGAUAAUGACGGUACCUGAGGAGAAAGCCACGGCUAACUACGUG
rnacentral:rRNA from 1 species